CACAGUUAUAUAUGAACAUUUUUAACUAACACUUUUUUUGUGAUGAUGUUAACUAGUCUUGCUCUAAUUGCAGGUGUGGAGGGAGGUCUGAAGCCAAAAACACAGACAGGCUGUGCUAGCUCACAGAACCAGUGACUCUUCAUCGUCACUCAGGCUCUCCACUGCAGGUUCAGCUGAAGGAGCUGCCUUGAAUGAAUAAGCAGGAUGGAGUUCAGGGUUUGCAAGGACAUCCUGUUCCUGAGUUUGGUCUUCACCACACUCAUCUGGCUGAACACUCUCUCAACUUCAGCAUUUGAGUGUGGCAAAGACAACACAGCCACAGCAGCCAUGGCGAGUUCCUGGAAUGGAUUGAGACCAGCUGCGUCCCUGAACCUCCAAAUCUCACUCCAGAAGCUCAGCGUGUUCUUUUGCUCAGUCCAGACAAUGAGGUGGAUGGUACGCCAUUGCUGGACAAUCUUGUCUAUUGCUUCAGGCAGUCUCAUCCUCAGCUCAUUGGUGAGGGAGAUAGUGAAGGCGACACACCGUUUUCUGACAUUCUGCUCAUCGUCAGGCGCAAGGUGGAGCUCAGCUGCCUUUGAAUCAAAAAGGAAACUGAGGUAUGGAACAGGACUUAUGUAUCCAUCGAGAGGCCCUUUCAAGACAUCCACCUUUGCCAGUGGAUUCAGGACCCUGCUGCUCACAGACUUAAUGAGGCUCACCAAGCUGUCAAGUAGCUUGAGAGGAUCGACCUGCUCUCCCUCAAACGCUUUCAUGGCCAACUGUACCUCUCCCAGCACUGACUUCAGAAAGGUCAAGUAUAGCACAUUUUGAGGAUCACUGUACAUGGAGUAU